rnacentral:rRNA from 1 species
UACGAAGGGGCUAGCGUUGCUCGGAAUCACUGGGCGUAAAGGUGCGUAGGCGGGUCUUUAAGUCAGGGUGAAUCCUGGAGCUCAACUCCAGAACUGCCUUUGAUACUGAGGAUCUUGAGUACGGGAGAGGUGAGUGGAACUGCGAGUGUAGAGGUGAAAUUCGUAGAUAUUCGCAAGAACACCAGUGGCGAAGGCGGCUCACUGGCCCGUUACUGACGGCUGAGGCACGGAAAGCGUGGG